rnacentral:precursor_RNA from 1 species
AGCGUAUAUUAAAGUUGCUGCAGUUAAAAAGCUCGUAGUUGGAUUUCUGGCUUGAAACAUUUUGUCGGCCACGGUUUCGUGUGUUAGUGCAUUAUGUUCUGGCCAUCCUUCCUAUCGCUAUUUACCUUUCUUCAUUGAUUGGUAAGUGGUAUAGGAUCUUUUACUUUGAAAAAAUUAGAGUGUUUCAAGCAGGCUUUAUGCUAUGAAUACAUUAGCAUGGAAUAAUAAUUUAGGACUUCGGUUCUAUUUUGUUGGUUUCUAGGACUGAAGUAAUGAUUGAUAGGGACAGUUGGGGGUGCUAGUAUUCAGCGGCCAGAGGUGAAAUUCUCGGAUUCGCUGAAGACUAACUUAUGCGAAAGCAUUCACCAAGGAUGUCUUCUUUAAUCAAGAACGAAAGUUGUGGGAUCGAAGACGAUCAGAUACCGUCGUAGUCUCAACCAUAAACUAUGCCGACUAGGGAUGAACGAACGUUGCAUUUUCGACUUCAUUCGCACCUUAUGAGAAAUCAAAGUCUUUGGGUUCCGGGGGGAGUAUGGUCGCGAGGCUGAAACUUAAAGGAAUUGACGGAAGGGCACCACCAGGAGUGGAGCCUGCGGCUUAAUUUGACUCAACACGGGAAAACUUACCAGGUCCAGACACAGUAAGGAUUGACAGAUUGAAGAUCUUUCUUGAUUCUGUGGGUGGUGGUGCAUGGCCGUUCUUAGUUGGUGGAGUGAUUUCUCUGGUUAAUUCCGUUAACGAACGAGACCUCGACCUGCUAAAUAGUUCGACAAAGGA